CGGCAUCAGGCAAAUUGUCAAGCAAGAUGUUUGCCUUAAGUGCCUUCAUGUCCUAUCUUGGAACAUCUUGAACUCUUUCCUCCUAAUCCUUUCAAGUUUUCUCCUGGAUCUUACUGUCUAAUCUUCCACCCACGACUGCCGAGACUUCUGUUUCUCCUAGAGAAAAGAAACCGAGGUGCUCCACCCUCCAGAUACCCCUCCAUUUCUCCCAGUCUACCCUUCCACAUUCCUCUCCCGUAGCCCCUUCUCGACUUUUCACCAGGUAUUUCACUGGAAAGAAACUUGAGAAAGUCAUCCACACUAAGGGAUUCACGGCGGCUGAUGGUUUAAUGUGCUGUCUCCUUCAGAUGACAUGGUUAUUUUAAAAGACAUUUCCUAGAAGUGUGUCUUUAUCCAAAGUAAUGAAAUCCAUGUGGUGAAAUUUUAGACAAAAUGUUGGAAUGGAAGUCAAAAGGGCAUGGGGAUUGGGCGGGCUGCUCCUUGACCCAUAAUGACCCUUCCCAACCACACAGACCUCUGUUAACUCCACAUCUGAGUAGAGGCACCUCUAAUUAGAUUUCUGCUUACAGCUGGUAUUAAGGUAGGCUAAGUGCUGUAACAAACAGACCAAAAUAUUCUAGCAGCUGUAAUAAGACAAGUUUAUUUCUUGCUUUGCAAAAAGCCCUGGGCAAGUGAGCAGUUUAAUGGGGUGUCCCUCCUUCAUGACAUCAUUCAGGAUCCCAGGCUGAUGAAAUCUCUGCCACUUUCAACAUGUGACAUACAAGUCGCAGUGGGAGGUCCUCUCUUUUCAGCUCAGCCGUGGCAAGAAAGGGGCUUCCCAGGUGGUGCAGAACCUGCCUACCAAUGCAGGAAACAUAAAGGACCCUAGUUCAAUCCCUGGGUAGGGAAGAUCCCCUAGAGGAGGGCAUGGCAAUCCACUCCAUUAUUCUUGCCCGGAGAGUUCCAGGGACAGAGGAGCCUGGCAGGUCCAUAGGGUUGCAAAGAGUUGGCAUGAGUGAAGCAACUUAACCUGCAAACACGCACAUGAGGAGAAAGGAGUUACCCAAUCAGCCUGGAAGAAAUCCUCAUCAUCUGAAUCUCAGCCACAUGGCUGCAUCUCAGUGCGAGGAGGUCUGGACACUGUGUUCUCACUGCACAGCAGGAGGAAGAGUGACCGGGACUGGGGGGGAGUAAUUAGGAGUUUCUGUCAUGAGCUCAAGCAUAAAUCUCUUCCUGGCUUCUUGUUAGGGAACCACAUUCCCUCUUGUGGGAAACUGACAGUAUUUGGGCUGAAAUUGCACGACAAGAAGUUGUUCUUACCAUCAAGGCAGACAAGGUUGGUAAAUAAGGCCAAAAAAAAAAAAAAAAAGAUAAAACUUAGAACAUUAUAGCCAUUUUCACAGACCAGAAAUAGCAGCAUCAUUUAAUAUUUGAAGAAAAUAUUGUUCUUUUUUUUAAUAUUUGAGGAAACAAUUUAAAAGGCACUCUUGAUAUGAAAAGAUUAGUCUCAUAUGGGUAGUUGGGGCAAAGAAAAUUUUGCUAAAGCAUGUGAAUGCCAUUUUUACGGUGGACAGAACUCAAACUUGAAGUAUUACUGAGUACUCUGAUUUUUCAUUCUCCUUGACAAAAAGAAACAAAUUGGAAUUUUGGGCUCAAAACUAGGUUGAAAGGAACUCCCACCUGUUGGGAGUUCUGAACCAUAGCAACCCCUCUGCCAGACCGCAGGUAGGGGUCACCCUACAUGGAGACAAGGCUGGGGGACUUAGGUGCAGUGAUCACUGCUGCUGAAUUUGAAAUGUCCCUUUCCUGCAGUCUAAUUCUGUAUGUUAUCUUGAAGGCUUCACUUUGUCUCACCUCAGCUGUGCUGGGGUGCUGCGUAGAGUUGUGAAGUAAAAGAGGAGCCGGUGUCUACACAUGGACAACCAUGAAGCCUCAAGUAGCAUCCAGGGAGCAGUAAGGAGCCACAGAUGGCAAGCAACAGCCAAGACAGAAUCCCUGCGGACAGAGGAGCCUGGUGGGCUACAGUUCAUGGGGUUGCAAAGAGUCGGACAUGACUGAGCAACUAAGCACAGCACACAGCAUCAGCAAACAACCUGAAAGACUGCAUGGUACAGUGACGGGAGGUCCACAGGCUCCGACUCCUGCAGCCGAAGCAGAUGGGAGGACAGGCAUCGUUAUGAAGACCUCACAGCAGAGAGGAUUCAGAGCUGGAAGGAUGAACAAGUGGAGGCAGCUGGGGGCACUAAAGGACACCCCAGGGAAGAAGCUCCCAAACUGUGGUCUACUCCGAGAAUGACACCAGCAUGCCCUCUGUUGAUUCCUGUGGGUAGAGGAGUCUGGCAGGCUUUUAUCCAUGCGGUCACAAAGAGCUGGACACAACUGAGCAACCUAGGACAGCACAGACGUGCUAAUGCUUGCGUCCCUUUGGCUAUAGCCCUUCGGCUGUCGGCCUGAGCCUGUGGUGGUCACCUCCAGGUGUAAGUGACCUCAGUGAUACCCACUCUGUG
ensembl:lncRNA